rnacentral:lncRNA from 1 species
AAACCCCCCUGUGCAAGUUACCUUAUCUGUGCCUGUUGGCUAUUCUUUGGUUUGAAAGAAUUCUUCCAAGGAUCCACCCUAACUGCCUGCCUGACUCGUUUCUUCCUUUCCCCUCUCAGUAAGGGAGAUGUUUCCUAUUAUCCUUGAUAAUGUGCCAUGAACAUAUGAAAAAACAUAGAAACAUGAAGAAAACAAGAAGACAAAAAUCACUAACAUCUGGUUGGCUGUAUAGAAACAAAGCUGAUUCUGGUUGGAGUGCAGUGGUAAGAUCACAGCUCACUGCUGCCUUGACUUCCUGGGCUCAAGUGAUUCUCCUGCCUCAGUCUCCUCAGUAGCUCGGACUACAGG